AAAAGAAAGAUACAAUCAAAGUUAACCCUGAUUCAUAUGCCUUAAGCCUAGGUAGUUAACAGUGGACACUUAUCAAUAGGCCUGUGGUCAUACCCCAAUAAGCAUAAUGGAAUUUAUGAUUCUAUUCAGUUACACAGAUAAUUAGGGUAUUCUUUUAGGCAGCAGAGAGUCUAGGUACGAGCCCUGGGGCUCUUCCAUCCAGGGGGCCUGGUUUUCCAGUUGGUAUGUCGUUUCCAUAGAUACUGGGCAUAGAGCUCAAAGUCCACAGUCCGGCCCAAGAUGGAGUCCUGCUUUCAAGAUGGAGCCUGCGGCCUAUAUGCUACCCAAGGAGGAGAAGGUGAAAAUGAGCAGGACCACGUAAGGAGAAGCUCCAGUCAUCAUGUCAAGACACAAUCUCUUUCUUCAGAGUACACACUCCUUCAAGCUUCCAGCUCAAGUCAAAGAGUUAUUCAGGAGUCCAUGAAAGAGGCAGCCAAGUAAGGUCAGUUGCUAGUAGACGGAUCUACUCACUUCAGCUGAGGAUUCUCAUGUAAAAAUAUGGGUGUGGUGAGAGGAUGACCUUUCAUU
rnacentral:lncRNA from 1 species